rnacentral:rRNA from 1 species
GAUGAACGCUGGCGGCGUGCCUAAUACAUGCAAGUCGAGCGAAGCGGGGACGGGUGAGUAACACUUGGAAAACCUCCUAUAAAACUGGGAUACCUUCGGGAAACCGUGGCUAAACGGGAUACUUAUAUAUGGCUCCUCGCUGCAUUAGCUAGUUAGUAAGGUAACGGCUUACAAAGGCAACGAUGCAGAGCUGACCUGAGAGGGUGAUCGGCCAAACUGGAAGUGAGACACGGUCCAGACGCCUACGGGAGGCAGCAGUAGGGAAUCUUCCGCAAUGGGCGAAAGCCUGACGGAGCAACGCCGCGUGAGUGAUGAAGGUCUUCGGAUCGUAAAACUCUGUUAUUAGGGAAGCGGGACCUAAUCAGAAAGCCACGGCUAACUACGUGCCAGCAGCCGCGGUAAUAC